rnacentral:rRNA from 1 species
UGAGGAAUAUUGGGUCAAUGGGCGGAAGCCUGAAACCAGCCAAGUAGCGUGCAGGAUGACGGCCCUACGGGUUGUAAACUGCUUUUUUGCGGGAAUAAAGCGGCUCACGCGUGGGCCUUUGCAUGUACCGCACGAAUAAGGACCGGCUAAUUCCGUGCC